CCUACGGGAGGCUGCAGUGAGGAAUAUUGGUCAAUGGCCGCAGGGCUGAACCAGCCAAGUCGCGUGAGGGAUGACGGUCCUGUGGAUUGUAGACCUCUUAUGUCAGGGAGCAAAUGGCGCCACGUGUGGCGGUUUGCGAGUACCUGAAGAAAAAGCAUCGGCUAACUCCGUGCCAGCAGCAGCGGUAAUACGGAGGAUGCGAGCUUUAUCCGGAUUUAUUGGGGUGAAAGGGUGCGCAGGCGGAAUGUAGAGUCAGCGGUAAAAUUUCGGGGCUCAACCCCGUCGUGCCGUUGAAACUGGCGUUCUUGAGUGAGCGAGAAGUAUGCGGAAUGCGUGGUGUAGCGGUGAAAUGCAUAGAUAUCACGCAGAACUCCGAUUGCGAAGGCAGCAUACCGGCGCUCAACUGACGCUCAUGCACGAAAGCGUGGGUAUCGAACAGGAUUAGAUACCCGGGUAGUC
rnacentral:rRNA from 1 species